CUAGGUAGUCAGAGGCGAUGAAGGGCGUGCUAAUCUGCGAAAAGCGUCGGCAAGGUGAUAUGAACCGUUAUAACCGACGAUACCCGAAUGGGGAAACCCAGUGCAAUUCGUUGCACUAUUGCAUGGUGAAUACAUAGCCAUGCAAGGCGAACCGGGGGAACUGAAACAUCUAAGUACCCCGAGGAAAAGAAAUCAACCGAGAUUCCCCCAGUAGCGGCGAGCGAACGGGGAGGAGCCCAGAACCUGAAUCAGCAUAUGUGUUAGUGGAAGCGUCUGGAAAGUCGCACGGUACAGGGUGAUAGUCCCGUACACAAAAAUGCAUAUGUUGUGAGUUCGAUGAGUAGGGCGGGACACGUGACAUCCUGUCUGAAUAUGGGGGGACCAUCCUCCAAGGCUAAAUACUCCUGACUGACCGAUAGUGAACCAGUACCGUGAGGGAAAGGCGAAAAGAACCCCGGCGAGGGGAGUGAAAUAGAACCUGAAACCGUGUACGUACAAGCAGUGGGAGCACCUUCGUGGUGUGACUGCGUACCUUUUGUAUAAUGGGUCAGCGACUUAUAUUUUGUAGCAAGGUUAACCGAAUAGGGGAGCCGUAGGGAAACCGAGUCUUAACUGGGCGAAUAGUUGCAAGGUAUAGACCCGAAACCCGGUGAUCUAGCCAUGGGCAGGUUGAAGGUUGGGUAACACUAACUGGAGGACCGAACCGACUAAUGUUGAAAAAUUAGCGGAUGACUUGUGGCUGGGGGUGAAAGGCCAAUCAAACCGGGAGAUAGCUGGUUCUCCCCGAAAGCUAUUUAGGUAGCGCCUCGUGAACUCAUCUUCGGGGGUAGAGCACUGUUUCGGCUAGGGGGUCAUCCCGACUUACCAAACCGAUGCAAACUCCGAAUACCGAAGAAUGUUAUCACGGGAGACACACGGCGGGUGCUAACGUCCGUCGUGAAGAGGGAAACAACCCAGACCGCCAGCUAAGGUCCCAAAGUCAUGGUUAAGUGGGAAACGAUGUGGGAAGGCAUAGACAGCCAGGAUGUUGGCUUAGAAGCAGCCAUCAUUUAAAGAAAGCGUAAUAGCUCACUGGUCGAGUCGGCCUGCGCGGAAGAUGUAACGGGGCUAAACCAUG
rnacentral:rRNA from 1 species